rnacentral:rRNA from 1 species
GUGGAGCAUGUGGUUUAAUUCGAUAAUACGCGCGAAACCUUACCAGUUUUUGAAUACUGACAAUAUUGUUAGAAAUAACUUUUUUAUUGAUAAUUUUAAAAAAAAAAAUUAUAUAUUAUGUUAAUACAGGUGUUGCAUGGCUGUCGUCAGUUCGUGCCGUGAGGUGUUUGGUUAAUUCCUUUAACGAACGUAACUCUUAUUUUAUAUUAGGAAUCUUGAUUAUUACUAAUUAAUAACCACUUAUAAAAAACUGCUUUUAAUACAGAAGAGGAAGGAAAGAAUUACGUCAAGUCCUUAUGGCCCUUAUAAACUGGGCUACACAUGUGCUACAAUAGAAAGUUCAAAAAGUCGUACAAUAAAGCAAUUUAAAGUUAAUCUUUAAUUCUUUCUGUGUUCGGAUUAUUGACUGCAACUCGUCAAAAUUAAGUUGGAAUCACGAGUAAUCGUAUAUCAGCAUGCUACGGUGAAUAUGUGCUUAGAUCUUGCACACACCGCCCGUCACGUGCUGGGAGUAAGUUUUAUUUUAAAUAUAUAGAUGGUCUUUAUUAAAUUAUAAUAAUCUUAACUUUAGUUAUUUUUUUAAUUUGAUAAAAACCUAUAUACGUCAUUAUGAGAUUUAUAACCGGGAUGAAGUCGUAACAAGGUAGUCGUAGGGGAACCUGCGGCUGGAC